ACAUGUGAGGGGAGGUUAACUCAGAAUUCUUACAGCUGGCUGACAGAGUUGGCUCACACUCGCCACCUCACUAAGAAACUGCCCAACGGGAUCCAUUUGUUCACAUAUGCUUGGAGAGCUCAAACUUUCUCUUGGGGACAGGUAUAAGGUCUGGAGAAGUCGAUUCCAGAAGACAAAAUGCCCCACAGGAAACAAGAGAGCACCGGCUCCCCGACUGCAAACCCCAAAACCGCAGCUCCUCCUUCGAGCCGGAAUCGAACCAGCGACCUAAGGAUGGCCACACAGAGAGCGCGCUACAGUCCUCCGCUCUACCAGCUGAGCUAUCGAAGGGGGUACUGGUUUUGCCUCUCUAGAGUCACCUAUUCAGGACACCUACAAACAGGGGCGCGGGAGAAACAAUCUACGGAGACGUGGAUAUCGCAGGGUCACAAAGCCAGCUUGUAAGAAAGCCCCGCCCGCAGUUCUGGGGACAACCCUUCUAGAGCCGGAUUCCCCGACCUCACGGAGGGGCUUCCAAAGCAAGACCAACCCGUGGGCUCCUCACAGGCACCCCCAGACCCCGCGCAUCACGAGGCCGCCCGGGGCUGGGGGCAUCUGCCCGCCCGGGGGCGGUUGGCUGCCGUGAGCGCGCGGCCCCGGACCUCCCGCCGUGAUGUGUGUGACGUGGAAACCGCCAACCGGCCUAGAAGAACUAGGGAGUGCGGCGGUGGGACACGAAGCUCCGCCCGCGCAGCUCGGCGCCAGGCGGAGAGGGCGGGCCUCCCGGGUCUGGCUCGGGCCUCUUCGCUUUUCCUCACUUCCUGUGCUCGCCUAGGAAUCCAAGCGCGUCUGCACAGGCGAAGCGCAACUCUUCCGUUUAUACGUCCACAGACUCUGGGAGGGAGAGGAUGUGGAGCAUAGCACAUAUGGGUAACCCCAGUGUUUCCGCGAGAAAGGACUUCUGGAGAAAAUAUCUUAAGGUGUUUCAAAGAGGAAGCCGCAAUUCCUCUGAACCGAUAACAAACCUAAUGACCCAAGUCUCGGCCUUCGUUUUCCCGCUGGGGCAGUCAAGUGUUGGAAAACUCGCGGUCACAGGAAACCUUGCGGGACAGCCUACUCUCUCCCGAACGCCUCCUCCCUUUCGGGAGGGGAGCUUGUUCAGGGCUCCAAGCCUGUGCUGAGCGGGGCACUGGGCCGGACUCCCAUGGUCCCCCCCAACCCCGCGCCGCCGCCCCCACCGCCCUCAGCAGUUCUCGGGCUCCGGCCGUCCUCCGGAAGGGCUCUCGCGGCGGGUCAGCACAGCCCGGGGUCCGCGGACGCAGGGAGCGCUUCCCGCAGCUUCUAAUGGACUCCGCCACAUUCUAGGCAGCAGACCCGCACUUGCGCAGUAGCGCGUAAGAGGAAACGGAUCUGUUCAGCUUGGUUUAUUCGGGUAGUGGGACUGUGGCGAGAAGACACACGAACCGAAUUUCCGCAAGGGUUAAAAUUACCGGAGGGGAGGGCGGUAGGUCUUAUUUAAAAGAGUAAGAAAUAAGGGUUAAGGCCCCAGCGAGAUUUGAACUCGCGACCCCUGGUUUACAAGACCAGUGCUCUAACCCCUGAGCUAUAGGGCCUCGCGAGCGAUCAGUUUGCUUCUUUCUUUGAAAAGGAAAGUUUUUUUUGCUGGGCCUUUGUUAGGGGGAUUAAAUGUAGGAAGUAGACAAAAUCCGAAUUUUGUUUCAAUCUAUUUACUCUUGGAAUUUGGUCUGCACGCCCUUGCUAGGGAUAACGCAAUAUGAGGGCCGGUGACAACAGACACCACUAUUUUAAAGAUCGGAGAAAUCUGCCUAAACCAACACAUUACAACCCAGAGUCCACCUCAGAGCUCCCCUCCUGGCCGCAGUCUAAAAAUUAAGAGAGGAAAUGAGAAGUAGCGGAAUUUGACGACCACAGAUCUCUCGGCCUUCCCACUGAUUUUCUCCUUGACUCAGGAUAGCCACCAACUUUCAAACUCCUUCUUCAAGUUCUUUCUGUGUAUGGACCUUCCUUACAGCUCGAGCCUCUGCGCCAGAGCAGGCAUUUGUUGAUUCGUUAUUUAAUUCAUUCCUUCAUGCAACAAACACGGAACUCCCAAUUCUCUGCUGGGCUGUGCAUUAGGAACAAGGCAUCAGAUACUGUCUUUAACUUGACGUCCCUGUCACAGUCUUGUGGAAUAAGAGAAAUUUAGUUUUUAUGAAAGAGAAUAGUGAAAAGUAGCUGUGCCAGCUGUGAGCGGGUGGUGGACCGUGCCAAGCUUCGCAGAUUUGCAGGGCAGGUGGAGCACUAUCAACCCAAAAGGAUCCUAAAAAUAGUUAUUGGUUGGACAUUUUCUGAGCCUUCAAGAUGAAGUUAAACCCAAGCUUCUCAGGAGAAGUUGAAAGCUCAUUCUUUCCAGUUUUCCUUGCUAAGCUUAGCUGACUUCUGCUGAGCUCCAUAACAGUUACUGGAAGUGGGAGGAUAGAGCUCACGACUGUCCACCUGUUUUAUCAGGAUGAUUUUGUAAGUACUGUUCUCGGGCAUAUGCCCAGGUGAACCACCAGGAAUGCAGAGGACUGAGAGGCUGGCUGGCUGGCUAGCACAUUAGAGGAAGAAUGUUUAAUGGAACUGAAGAUCUUACAUAUGCAAAAAAGAAAACUUGAGGGACAUCAUCACCAUGCUCUAAUACUUGAUAUGCUGUCAUGAGGAGAGACGAAACAGAAGUAUUCUUUGUGAUAAAAGAGAAUCAAUUCUUAAGUUACAGGAAAAUUGUUAUUUAUAGACAUAUGUAUUCAUGUACUUAAGAUGUAAAAGACUUAUAUACUGAAAAUUAUAAAGCAUUAAUGAAAGAAACUAAAAAGACACAGAUAAAUAGACAUCUGGUGUCCAUGGAUUGGAAGAAUUAAAGCUGUUUAACCGUUUUUAUUGGACCCACAGUUUUGGGUCCAAACGACCCAAAAUGAUCUACAGAUUCAAGGUAAUCCCUAUCAAAAUUCCAGUGUCAUU